UACGAAGGGGGCUAGCGUUGCUCGGAAUCACUGGGCGUAAAGCGCACGUAGGCGGACUCUUAAGUCGGUGGUGAAAUCCUGGAGCUCAACUCCAGAACUGCCUUCGAUACUGAGAGUCUCGAGUCCGGGAGAGGUGAGUGGAACUGCGAGUGUAGAGGUGAAAUUCGUAGAUAUUCGCAAGAACACCAGUGGCGAAGGCGGCUCACUGGCCCGAUACUGACGCUGAGGUGCGAAAGCGUGGGGAGCAAACGGG
rnacentral:rRNA from 1 species